UACGCAGGUGGCAAGCGUUGUCCGGAUUUAUUGGGUUUAAAGGGUGCGUAGGCGGCCCUGUAAGUCAGUGCUGAAAUAUCCCAGCUUAACUGGGAGGGUGGCAUUGAUACUGCGGGGCUAGAGUACAGAUGAGGUAGGCGGAAUUGACGGUGUAGCGGUGAAAUGCUUAGAUAUCGUCAAGAACACCUAUAGCGAAGGCAGCUUACUAGGCUGUAACUGACGCUGAGGCACGAAAGUGUGGGGAUCAAACAGG
rnacentral:rRNA from 1 species